rnacentral:rRNA from 1 species
UACGGGGGGGCAAGCGUUGUUCGGAAUUACUGGGCGUAAAGGGCGCGUAGGCGGCCUGCUAAGUCGGAUGUGAAAUCCCUCGGCUCAACCGAGGAACUGCAUCCGAUACUGGCGGGCUUGAAUCCGGGAGAGGGAUGUGGAAUUCCAGGUGUAGCGGUGAAGUGCGUAGAUAUCUGGAGGAACACCGGUGGCGAAGGCGGCAUCCUGGACCGGUAUUGACGCUGAGGCGCGAAAAGCUAGGGGAGCAAACGGG